GACGAACGCUGGCGGCGUGCUUAACACAUGCAAGUCGAACGGUGAACUCCGCUUGCGGGGGGAUCAGUGGCGAACGGGUGAGUAACACGUGGGCAACCUGCCCUCAGCUCUGGGAUAACUCCAAGAAAUUGGGGCUAAUACCGGAUAUGACCGCUGACCGCAUGGUCUGGUGGUGGAAGGAUUUAUCGGCUGGGGAUGGGCCCGCGGCCUAUCAGCUUGUUGGUGGGGUAGUGGCCUACCAAGGCGACGACGGGUAGCCGGCCUGAGAGGGUGACCGGCCACACUGGGACUGAGACACGGCCCAGACGCCUACGGGAGGCAGCAGUGGGGAAUAUUGCGCAAUGGGAGAGAGCCGGAGGCGGCGGCGCCGCGGGGGGGAUGACGGCCUUCGGGUUGUAAACCUCUUUCAGCAGGGACGAAGCGAAAGUGACGGUACCUGCAGAAGAAGCACCGGCCAACUACGUG
rnacentral:rRNA from 1 species